rnacentral:lncRNA from 1 species
UUACACCAGACAGACCACCUGACCAGGUGUGUUUACACCAGACAGACCACCUGACCAGGUGUGUUUACUCUAGACAGACCACCUGACCAGGUGUGUUUACUCUAGACAGACCACCUGACCAGGUGUGUUUACUCUAGACAGACCACCUGACCAGGUGUGUUUACUCUAGACAGACCACCUGACCAGGUGUGUUUACUCUAGACAGACCACCUGACCAGGUGUGUUUACACCAGACAGACCACCUGACCAGGUGUGUUUACACCAGAAAGACCUCCUAACAAGGUGGGUUUACACCAGACAGACCACCUGACCAGGUGUGUUUACUCUAGACAGACCACCUGACCAGGUGUGUUUACACCAGACAGACCACCUGACCAGGUGUGUUUACACCAGACAGACCACCUGACCAGGUGUGUUUACUCUAGACAGACCACCAGACCAGGUGUGUUUACUCUAGACAGACCACCUGACCAGGUGUCUUUACUCUAGAGUGACCACCUGACCAGGCGUGUUUACUGUAGCCAGACCACCUGACCAGGUGUGUUUACACUCGACAGACCACCAGACCCGAUGUGUUUCCAGGUACGUACCGCUGUGACGUGCAGGACUGGGCCCACCGCCGGGGGAAGCGGGCAUACUGGGGGGUGAGGGUCCUACCCCAGGGGGUGGUGGACCUGGACUACCCCGGUUCCCCGGCCCCCGGGCCCCAGAACCCAGACCGGAUCCAACUGUUCCUCACCUGCACUGUGCCCUACAUGGUGCUGGUGGGUCUGGGGGUGUCCACCGGUCUGGCAGGUCUGACCGUGAUGGGGCUCUACCGGGUCCUGGUCCGGGGUGGGGGGAUUAGCGGGAGCCAGGAGAACCAGGAGAUGGAGCCGCGGAGAGACAGAAAGACCCGGAGGUCUGACUUUGAGCGUUCCGGUGCUUGUCUGUCUGAGGUCGAAUCAUAACCGGACUGAGUCUGAUUAAACAAACUGAAAUACGCUGGCUCUUUGGUUCUACUAUCUGGUGAGUGAUGUGGAUGGCUCUACUUAUUAAGUGUUUCUUUUUUUGAGGAAAUACAUUUUUUGGGGCAUUUGAACCUUUAACAAAUCGUAGGAAGACGUCUCCUCCUGCGUCACCUCCUUUUUCUAUAUCAAAGAAGACGGCGGUAGCUGCAGUUGCAUGAUUG